rnacentral:rRNA from 1 species
CCCUUAGAUGUUCGUGGCCGCACGCGCGCUACACUGAAGGAAUCAGCACGUCUUUCUCCUUGUCCGAAAGGACUGGGUAACCCGCUGAACCUCCUUCGUGCUAGGGAUUGGGGCUUGUAAUUCUUCCCCAUGAACGAGGAAUUCCCAGUAAGCGCGAGUCAUAAGCUCGCGUUGAUUACGUCCCUGCCCUUUGUACACACCGCCCGUCGCUACUACCGAUUGGAUGGUUUAGUGAGAUCCUCGGAUUGGUCCCGGAGCGGCCUCUGGUCGUGCCGGAGUGCCGAAAAGAAUGUCGAACUUGAUCAUCUAGAGGAAGUAAAAGUCGUAACA